GAUGAACGCUGGCGGCGUGCCUAAUACAUGCAAGUCGAACGAAACUUCUUUAUCACCGAGUGCUUGCACUCACCGAUAAAGAGUUGAGUGGCGAACGGGUGAGUAACACGUGGGCAACCUGCCCAAAAGAGGGGGAUAACACUUGGAAACAGGUGCUAAUACCGCAUAACCAUAGUUACCGCAUGGUAACUAUGUAAAAGGUGGCUAUACUACCGCUUUUGGAUGGGCCCGCGGCGCAUUAGCUAGUUGGUAGGGUAAAGGCUUACCAAGGCAAUGAUGCGUAGCCGAAGUGAGAGGUUGAUAGGCCACAUUGGGACUGAGACACGGACCAAACUCCUACGGGAGGCAGCAGUAGGGAAUCUUCCACAAUGGGCGAAAGCCUGAUGGAGCAACGCCGCGUGGGUGAAGAAGGUCUUCGGAUCGUAAAACCCUGUUGUUAGAGAAGAAAGUGCGUGAGAGUAACUGUUCACGUUUCGACGGUAUCUAACCGGAAAGCCACGGCUAACUACGUG
rnacentral:rRNA from 1 species